GAUGAAGAACGUAGCGAAAUACGAUACUUGGUGUGAAUUGCAGAAUCCCGUGAACCAUCGAGUCUUUGAACGCAAGUUGCGCCCGAAGCCAUUAGGCCGAGGGCACGCCUGCCUGGGCGUCACACGUCGUUGCCCCCCCAUCUACUCCUUCGGGAUUGCGGGGGGCGGAUGAUGGCCUCCCGUGCGCCUCGUCGCGCGGUUGGCAUAAAUGCCAAGUCCUCGGCGACGCACGCCACGACAAUCGGUGGUUGCGAAACCUCGGUUGCCCGUCGUGUGCGGUCGUCGCGCAUCGAGGGCUCGAAAAAAUUGCCGGGCUCCGGCUCGGCUUUCAACGCGACCCCAGGUCAGGCGGGGUUACCCGCUGAAUUUAAGCAUAUCAAUAAGCGGAGGA
rnacentral:misc_RNA from 1 species